AGUGAACGCUGGCGGUAGGCCUAACACAUGCAAGUCGAACGAGUGGCGGACGGGUGAGGAAUACAUCGGAAUCUACUCUGUCGUGGGGGAUAACGUCGGGAAACUUACGCUAAUACCGCAUACUAUCAGAUGAGCCUAGGUCGGAUUGGCGAGUUGGUGGGGUAAAGGCCCACCAAGGCGACGAUCCGUAACUGGUCUGAGAGGAUGAUCAGUCACACUGGAAUGGAGACACGGUCCAGACUCCUACGGGAGGCAGCAGUGGGGAAUAUUGGACAAUGGGCGAAAGCCUGAUCCAGCCAUGCCGCGUGUGUGAAGAAGGCCUUCGGGUUGUAAAGUACUUUCAGCGGGGAGGCGUUACCCGCAGAAGAAGCACCGGCUAACUCCGUGCCAGCAGCCGCGGUAAUAC
rnacentral:rRNA from 1 species